GUGCUUAACACAUGCAAGUCGAACGGAAAGGCCCUUCGGGGUACUCGAGUGGCGAACGGGUGAGUAACACGUGGGUGAUCUGCCCUGCACUUUGGGAUAAGCCUGGGAAACUGGGUCUAAUACCGAAUACACCCUUCUGGCUGCAUGGUCUGGUUGGGGAAAGCUUUUGCGGUGUGGGAUGGGCCCGCGGCCUAUCAGCUUGUUGGUGAGGUUACGGCUCACCAAGGCGACGACGGGUAGCCGGCCUGAGAGGGUGACCGGCCACACUGGGACUGAGAUACGGCCCAGACUCCUACGGGAGGCAGCAGUGGGGAAUAUUGCACAAUGGGCGCAAGCCUGAUGCAGCGACGCCGCGUGAGGGAUGACGGCCUUCGGGUUGUAAACCUCUUUCGCCAGGGACGAAGCGCAAGUGACGGUACCUGGAGAAGAAGGACCGGCCAACUACGUGCCAGCAGCCGCGGUAAUACGUAGGGUCCGAGCGUUGUCCGGAAUUACUGGGCGUAAAGAGCUCGUAGGUGGUUUGUCGCGUUGUUCGUGAAAUC
rnacentral:rRNA from 1 species